CGACCUCGAGCGCAGCUUGGUGUUGAGGACUGUCGCUCUCGCGGCAUCCUUUAAAAGCAUUGGCGGCAGCGCAGCUCAAUCGCAACAAAAUGCGUGCAAAGCUGCCAACUGCCCGCCUUCUCUUCCCUUUAUUACUACCA
rnacentral:misc_RNA from 1 species